rnacentral:rRNA from 1 species
GACGAACGCUGGCGGCGUGCUUAACACAUGCAAGUCGUACGGUAAGGCCCUUUCGGGGGUACACGAGUGGCGAACGGGUGAGUAACACGUGAGUAACCUGCCCACAACUUUGGGAUAACGCUAGGAAACUGGUGCUAAUACUGGAUAUGUGCUCCUGCUGCAUGGUGGGGGUUGGAAAGAUCCGGGGGGUGUGGAUGGACUCGCGGCCUAUCAGCCUGGUGGUGGGGUAGUGGCCUACCAAGGGGGCGACCGGUAGCCGGCCUGGGAGGGUGACCGGCCACAUUGGGACUGGGAUACGGCCCAGACUCCUACGGGAGGCAGCAGUGGGGAAUAUUGCACAAUGGGCGCAAGCCUGAUGCAGCAACGCCGCGUGCGGGAUGACGGCCUUCGGGUUGUAAACCGCUUUCAGCAGGGACGAAGCUUUUUGUGACGGUACCUGCAGAAGAAGCACCGGCUAACUACGUG